GUGUCAGCCGCCGCGGUAAUACGAAUGGGGCAAGCGUUGUUCGGAUUUACUGGGCGUAAAGCGGGCGUAGGCGGCCGGCUAAGUCGGAUGUGAAAUCCCGGGGCUCAACUCCGGAACUGCAUUCGAUACUGGUCGGCUAGAGUUCGAGAGGGGGAUGCGGAAUUCCGCGUGUAGCAGUGAAAUGCGUAGAUAUGCGGAGGAACACCUGAGGCGAAGGCGGCAUCCUGGAUCGACACUGACGCUGAGGCCCGAAAGAAGGGGGAGCAAAAAGGAUUAGAUACCCUGGUAGUCCACGCCGUAAACGAUGGGUGCUAGCUGUUGGGGAGCCUAGCUCUUCAGUGGCGCAGCUACCGCGUUAAGCACCCCGCCUGGGGAGUACGGCCGCAAGGUUAAAACUUAAAUGAAUUGACGUGG
rnacentral:rRNA from 1 species